GAGUUUCACUUUUAACAGAGGUGUCUUCAAGGAGUUGAAACAAUUCAGAACGACCCAGAAAACAGGAUAACUGCUAAGGCCAUUACAAACAAUGCUGCAGUAAAUAAUCUUUACAUACCUCAUUUCACACAUAUGUAAGCUCCUCUACAGAAAAAAAAUCCUGUAAGUAGAAUGCAGAACCAAAAGAACCUGUAACACCAGGAUAACCGUGAGAAAAACAUCAAAUUAAGGAACAUUCUACAAAAUUCCUGACCAGUACUCCUCAAAACUGUCAAGGUCAUCAAAAACAAGGGAAGUCUGAGAAACUGAUAUAUCCCAGAGGAGCCUAGGGAGACAUGGCAACUAAAUAUAAUGUGAUAUCCUGGAGAAGAUCCUGGAACAGAGAGAGGAUAUUAUGAAAAAACUACAGAAAUCUGAAUAAAGUAUGAGUUUAGUUUAAAAAGAUGUAUCAAUAUUGUUUCAUUAGUUGUAACAAAUGUACUACACUAAUGUAAGCUGUUAAUAAUAGGGAAAACUAGGUGCAGGCUAUGUGGGAAAGCUCUGUACUUAUCUCUGCAACUUUUCUAUAAAUCUAACACCAUUUUAAAGUAGUUUAAAUAUGAAAGAUAAGAUUGAUAGGUAGAUAGAGGAAUGGAUAGGUGGGGUAACUAUCUGAUAAGGCAACUAUAGUAAAAUAUUACUGGUAAAAUCUACAUGCUGGGCGUAUGUUAUCAUUAAAACUUCUUCAACUUUGCUGUAUGCUGGAAAAAUUCAUAAUAAAAUGGCAAAAAUACA